UUAAAUAAGUAUUGAAAUUGAAUUCAACAAGUUUAAUCCAUUUUCCACACUCUACCUUUAUUUUCGUGGCAAAAUUUUAAAACAAAUGUGAAAGGAACAUUCUCCAAGUUGGACAUAAAUCUAAAUAAUCAUCUUCUUUUUUUAAGUUAAGUAACGUACAAUGUUGUAAUACUGGUACCCAAAUGAAGGCUCACAGGCCGCGGGUCAUAACCGGCUAGUUGGAAAUACUAUACUAAUAAAACCUAGAAAAACAUCUUUUAUAAAGAAAGCAAAAAAUCAUUGAAUGUAAUAAUUGCCCCACACAUUCCCCUCCACACACCCACAUAUAUUCACAAAUAACUUUAUUUUAAAAUGAAGUACAAACAGUAGACUCAUGGGAAAUAGUAUAAAAUAUAGUGUAUCUAUUACUGGUAAUGUCAUUGAGUCCAAAGACUACGGUGGUGCUUAGAACUUCGCGUGGGCCCUACUGUCACCUACAUUUUUUUUUGUUAC